CAGUCGAGCGGGCCCUUCGGGGUCAGCGGCGGACGGGUGAGUAACGCGUGGGAACGUGCCUUCUGGUUCGGAAUAACCCUGGGAAACUAGGGCUAAUACCGGAUACGCCCUUUUGGGGAAAGGUUUACUGCCGGAAGAUCGGCCCGCGUCUGAUUAGCUCGUUGGUGGGGUAACGGCCUACCAAGGCGACGAUCAGUAGCUGGUCUGAGAGGAUGAUCAGCCACACUGGGACUGAGACACGGCCCAGACUCCUACGGGAGGCAGCAGUGGGGAAUAUUGGACAAUGGGCGCAAGCCUGAUCCAGCCAUGCCGCGUGAGUGAUGAAGGCCUUAGGGUUGUAAAGCUCUUUUAUCCGGGACGAUAAUGACGGUACCGGAGGAAUAAGCCCCGGCUAACUUCGUGCCAGCAGCCGCGGUAAUACGAAGGGGGCUAGCGUUGCUCGGAAUCACUGGGCGUAAAGGGCGCGUAGGCGGCGUUUUAAGUCGGGGGUGAAAGCCUGUGGCUCAACCACAGAAUGGCCUUCGAUACUGGGACGCUUGAGUAUGGUAGAGGUUGGUGGAACUGCGAGUGUAGAGGUGAAAUUCGUAGAUAUUCGCAAGAACACCGGUGGCGAAGGCGGCCAACUGGACCAUUACUGACGCUGAGGCGCGAAAGCGUGGGGAGCAAACA
rnacentral:rRNA from 2 species